GAUGAACGCUAGCUACAGGCUUAACACAUGCAAGUCGAGGGGCAGCAUGAACUUAGCUUGCUAAGUUUGAUGGCGACCGGCGCACGGGUGAGUAACACGUAUCCAACCUGCCGAUGACUCGGGGAUAGCCUUUCGAAAGAAAGAUUUAAUACCCCGAUGGCAUAGUUCUUCCGCAUGGUAGAACUAUUAAAGAAUUUCGGUCAUCGAUGGGGAUGCGUUCCAUUAGGUUGUUGGCGGGGUAACGGCCCACCAAGCCUUCGAUGGAUAGGGGUUCUGAGAGGAAGGUCCCCCCACAUUGGAACUGAGACACGGUCCAAACUCCUACGGGAGGCAGCAGUGAGGAAUAUUGGUCAAUGGACGAGAGUCUGAACCAGCCAAGUAGCGUGAAGGAUGACUGCCCUAUGGGUUGUAAACUUCUUUUAUACGGGAAUAAAGUGAGGCACGUGUGCCUUUUUGUAUGUACCGUAUGAAUAAGGAUCGGCUAACUCCGUG
rnacentral:rRNA from 1 species